rnacentral:lncRNA from 1 species
UGAUGAGGAGGAAGAGGAAGACAUGAAAACAUUUCUGUUCCUGAGGGCAUACUCCUGCUCAGGUCAUCCUCCAUCCAUGCCCAACAUACUUCCAAUUUUUAUCACCUUCUAGGAGUGUAUUCAUCUAUAAAUGGAUUAAUCCACUGAUUAGGUCAAGGUACUCACCAUCAAACAAUUUCCUGAAAGCACAUGUUUCAGUAUUCCUGCAUUGUGAAGAAAGGUUCAGCACAUGGGCCACUGGGGGCAAAUUCUGACACAAACACUAGCAGUAGUUCUUUGGCAGGUCCAACCUGAACUGAGUCAUUCUGGUGUUCAAGGGGCGUUUUCUUUGAAAGGUGUUAGUUUGGUUUAGUUCUUGUGCGCGGAGGAAGUCUUUGAUAGUACUAUAGCUGGAUUGGAGGGCUCUACGGUCUGUGGAUGGCCUGACAUGGCAGAGGCUCUCAGAUGUUGAGUGUGUCCUGUGGUGUACUACUUGAAUGUCAACUACCACCUUUCUGCCACUCCCUCCCCAGAAUGGGAUCCCUGACAAUGGAAACAUCGUAUGUGCCAUAAACUCUCCAGUCAACCAUUACUUCAUCCUGGGAAAGUGAUCCACCAGCAAGUGGGCCAAGAUCAAGGAAGGAGGGUAAACACUGGUCUUAUUGGCUCUUUUUUUCUGGUACUACUGUAC